AUUGAACGCUGGCGGCAGGCCUAACACAUGCAAGUCGAACGAGUGGCGGACGGGUGAGUAAUGUCUGGGAAACUGCCCGAUGGAGGGGAUAACAGCUGGAAACGGUUGCUAAUACCGCCUACCAGCGGAUGCGCCGACGUGGGAUUAGCUAGUAGGUGGGGUAACGGCCUCACUAGGCGACGAUCCCUAGCUGGUCUGAGAGGAUGACCAGCCACACUGGAACUGAGACACGGUCCAGACUCCUACGGGAGGCAGCAGUGGGGAAUAUUGCACAAUGGGCGAAAGCCUGAUGCAGCCAUGCCGCGUGUAUGAAGAAGGCCUUCGGGUUGUAAAGUACUUUCAGCGAGGAGGCGUUACUCGCAGAAGAAGCACCGGCUAACUCCGUGCCAGCAGCCGCGGUAAUUC
rnacentral:rRNA from 1 species